AAUCGUUUUUGGAAGUUGCGAACAGGAAUUAUUUUAAUUUUCCAUAGUGUUUAAUUGCCUGAUUGCCUGAUCGAAAUCGUUGAUGGAAUCAUGUUUAUCGUCAAUAGCUGAAUAGUAAAUUCUACCGAUAAAGACAUGAUACCCAAAAGAAUAUUUCUAGAUAGAUUAUGGAUAUUAUGGUAUUGGAAGAAAGAAAAAAGGUGAUUCAGAUGAUGAUGGUUCCUCUCUCUCUCUCUCUCUUUGGCUUUUAUUUUUAAUAUCGAUGGACAAUUGGAUAUUCACCUCAUUUAAACAGCAUGAAGAAAAAGCCUGGAUGAUGAUGACUAUUACAUGAUGGCGAAGAUGAAAAUGUAAUUGCUGGUCAGAAACAUCAUUUUCAUAAUCAUCUUUAGUACAAUGAUAGAUUAUUAGAUGAUGCACUUAAGUAGUCCUGAUUUUCGGAUAACUGUGGACCUUCUUAUUCUCUCUCAAUCUUCCGUUGCAAUUCUGGCUUCUUCAAUUCUGUGAAUCUCCUUCUCCCAUCCAACAUCACUUGGAUAAAUGUCUUCUGAAGUUUAGAGAAGGAAAAAGCCACUAAAAUUAAGUGGUUACAAUCAGAGAGAGAGAGAGAGAGAGAGAGAGAGACAACGUUACAGAAUUUUUUCUGUAACAAAUUCUAUUCUUAAAUGAGGAGACAAUCAAUAGAAAUUGUUUUAACAUUGAAAGAGAAAAGGAAAAUGUAAAAAGUUAAAACAAGUCAACAUUUGCCCCACUCAUCAAACAGGAAACAUCAUCUUCCUUUUAACUUUUAUCCUUCAUCUCUCUCUAUGACUUUUCUUACUUUCUUUUUCCUUGAUAACACACAUAAAAUACCGAUAACCUAUUCAAGAUCAUCUCUUCAUCACCUAAAGAAAAAUACAAAAGGAAGUCAAUGAUGAUGGAGAGUAGAGAGAAACAAGAUCAACAACAAGGAAGUGAAAUCAAGUGCAAAGGAACAUCUGAAAGAGUCGAAGGGAAAAAAAGAAGGCGAGAUGAAAAUGAUAAUAGUGAUUUAAAAUAAUAGAAAUUAUGGUGAAAACUAAGAAUAGGAAGACUAAGGUGGCAAAGAAAUUGAAACUUUCAAGUAUUCCAAAGAUGACUUGGAAAUUGUGGAGAGGCAGAUAAUCUAGAUGAUGAAGAUAUAAAGAAAUUGAUGCAACAUGAAGAGUAAACAUUGAAAGGACAAGAGAGAAAGAGAGAGAGAUUCAAAAGUAGAAUACAAAGAAAAAGAGAAAGAGAGAGAGAGAGAGACAACCAUAGGAUAAAGAAAGAGAGAUCGCUGAUGAAAAGAAAUGGAAACUGGUGAUGAGGAUGGAGAUGAAGAUAAAGACAGAAAAAGAGAAAUUCGGAAAAUAAUAAGCCCGGAGUGUGUUAGGUUAGUGUGAGUUCAAUGUAGAGAAAAAAAAGAAGGAAAAAAGUAAAGUGAAAAAGAACUAGUUCGACCAAGAGGACUGAUGAUGAUGAUGAAAAGAGGAAGAGAGUGAGAGAGUGAGAGAAAAAAAGAGAGGAGGAAGAUGAGAGGAAAACCCUAGGAGAUGAUGAUGUAGAGAGAAAGAAGAGAGUGGAAAGAAAAUGAUCAAAUGAAUAACAUUUUUUUCAUCGAAACCCACUACCCAUUCAACCUCCUUCUCUUUACUCACAUUUCUCAUCUCUCCCAUAAUUUUCUCCCUUUUUCAUCUUCAUCCUUCUCAUCCUCAUCUUUCCGAGGGGGUGAGAGAUGAUGGAGGGCUUUAAGAGUAAGAGAAAUAGCAAAGAGAAGGAGAGAAAGAGAAAGUGAAGAUGAAGAUGAUAGACAGAUCAAGUUAUGCAAAAGUGUCGUUAACAAAGAUGAAGAUAAAGAUGAUAAAAGCAAGAGAGAGAGAGAGAGAGAGAGAGAGAGCAUCAACAGUAAAUGAUGAAAAUAGUAAAAGGAUUUACCCGAAUAAUAAUAAUACAAACAGACAAUCAGAUAGACAGACAUGAAAAUGAUGUAUUAUUAUUAUUGGUGGAUCAUUCAAACAAUCAUCUUCAUCUCCAUCUUCAAAUAUUCAUCAUCAUCACCAUCACCACCCUCAUCAUUCAAGAAGACAAAGAAAGAAAGAAAAUCCUCUCUAAUUGAAAAGAAUCAGAAAAAAAGAAACUAUUACAAUAAUCUACAUCCACCUUAACCAAAUCUCAACACCUUAAUUAUUUUCUCUCCACAUUCAAACUCUAUGUUGAUAGAUAACUGUGAGUCUCUCACUCUAAUCAAACAACAUCAUUAUACUGCUCCCUUAUCUCAUUAUUAUCUUCAUCUUCUUCAUCGUCAUCAUCAUCAUCUUCUUCUUCUUCCUUCCUUCUCUCACUCUACAUCUUCAAUUUCCUUUUUGUAGCUUUGGCAAUUGAAAUUGAUGAAAGAAAAAAAGAAAGAGAUGAAAAGUAAUGAAAAUCUGUAAACAAAUGAGUGACAUAGAAUCUUCAUCUUCUAAUCUAACUCCUCAUUAGUGUAAUUGUAAUGUUGAUGAUGAAGAUAAUCAUGUAUCAUUAAAGCAAUUAGCUAGAGUAAUAACCAUGAUAUUAGUUGAAGAUGAAAAUCACCUAAGUUCUUUGUCUUUCUGUAAAAGUUUUUCUAAUUUGUAUUGGAUUCACAAUUUUACAACUAUAACUAUUAUCAUUUGAAAUGAUAAUCGUAUUCAAAUUGUUACAAUCAACUCUCGAUAUUUGCAAUUAACAAAAAAAAAUCGUAAAAUGUUAUAUAUCUUAAGGCCACUUGAAGGCCACAAGAGGUAAUCAUUUUGAUCCUGUUGAAGCUUCCGAACAUGAAACUCUCACGAUUUUCUUAUGAAAAUUAUCCAAUUUACUUUCACCUUAUCAUCAUCAUCAUCUUCAUUAUCAUCUCCAUCCUCAUCUUUAUAUCUUCUUCCUGAUCUUCAUCUUCAUCUCCAUCAUAAACAAAAACAAGAAAAUCUUAUUCACUUUACAAUCGUGACUAAAAUUUAACUCCGAUUACAACAUGAUACCUUUUUUUUAUCUUCUUCACCAAUAAUCCUGAAUAUCACCUUAAAUGUUUAUUCAAUUUCUUAAUCCAUUAAUCAAAUAUUUAGAAAUUAACUUGAUAUUAGAACAGAAACUUUUUCUUUUCGAAAACUUUUCUAUUUAAAUGAAUUACCAUUGGUAAUAAGAUGAUGGAUCGACAUUUUUUAAUUUCUUUCUUAAAUCAAUGUUCUCAUUUUCUCCUCAUUAAUUAAAAUCCUCUUUCCCAAUCAAUUAUUAUUUUCUUCUUUAAGGUUAAUGGUCAGUUUAAUGUUAUUGUUUUCGAUGGUCAAUUAAUGUCCAGUGAAAGUACAGAAAAACAAGAAGGUAAUAAAUUUCAAGUAUCUCAAGGCUUAGUUGAUAUAAAUGGAGCAAAGUAAAUAAUAUCUUGGUCAUUGGUUUGGGUCACAAAUUAUAUUACAAGGUAAAUAUGCCUCAAGGUGGACCUGUGAUGUUUACCUGUUUAUCAUCGUUACCUGAGUAUAUAAAUCAGUCCAUUGAUGUCAACAGCAAUCAAAAAGAUCAGCUGAUUAAAAGUGGAAUUGAACAAUUAACAUGAAAACGAUUAACAAACGUAUACAGAUAAUAUAUUGAUAAUGAUAAUGAUUCUGGUUAAACCAUUAGGAAACGGAAGUUAAUCAAUUAGGAUUGAAAAGAUAAUUAUGAAUCUAACAAUCUCUCAAAUCUGAAAUGAUGAUGAAUGGAAACCAACAAGGAACCAGAAGAUAAUGAUGAUAAAAAUGAUGAGGAUAAAUAUGAUGAAGAGAAUGAGAAUUAAGUGAAUUGUGAAAGAAUCAAGUUUUUGAUUUAUAAAUUGCUUCUAGGCAAGAAUAUAAUCUUACUUGCUCCAUCAUAAUAAUCAUCAUCUCUCUCUCUCUCUCUCUCUCUCUCUCUCUCUCUCUGUUUAUCUUUGUAAAAAAGUUCUGAUCCUACUUUUGACAUCAUCAUCCUCAUCCUCAUCUUUAUCUUCAUCUUCAUCCGCAUCUUCCCUUCACAUCAAUCUCAAUUAGGAAUAAUUUUUUACAGAAAGUAAUUGGAAACAAUAAGAAAAGUGAAUCGAAAAACUUUUUCUAAGUUAAUUCAUCUUCCAAUUCACUUUUUUCACCAUGAUAAUAUUACCAUGAAUUUGUAGGUAACCCUCCUCAAUAUUUGAUUGCUCAUGAUAAUUUAUUAAUCACUUGUUAAAUUGUUCACUCAAAAAUGUGUAAUCAUUUAUAUAUAUUAAUACAAUUUGAUAAUUUUAUCAUUGAUCAUAAAUUAUAUUAAUAACAAUCCUACUUAUCAACAAUUAACUUUGAGAUAAUUUUUCUUAGGCGUUAAAUCAACGAUGAUGGUGGCCAGUUAAUUAUCAUAAUUUAAGUUAAUUGUUUCAAUUUCAUUGGUGGCACUUCAAUUUAUUAGCCAUCCAUUUAACACUAUCAAUAUAAUUAUCAAUUUUAAUUACUCACUUAUUUUAUACUAGUACAUGUA